AUGGAGACGAAUAAGAAAUCAGAGGUUUGCAAUAAAGACCAAUUUCGGGUGAAGCCUGAGAGGUCCUCAGAACCAGAUCGGAAGGAAAACAAAGAGGAUGACUUCUUAAAAUCUGUUUUGCCCACAAUUGAAGAAAUUUCAAAUCUGAAGAAGAUGUUAGAAGAGUUUGAUACGGAUAAAAUGACGAAAAAAGAUAUCGAAAAACUUAAAAAGAAACUGAAAAAACAAAAAUUAGUCAGAGAUGUUGAAAAAGCAGAAAACGAUAAAAAGUCUGUGCCCUCAAAAUCACGGAGACGUAGAACUGUUUCGUCAGAAGGAUCCUCCGUAGAGCGAUCACCAUCUCCUCGCCAUAGGAGGUCAGAGGCAGAAAUAGAGUCGUCAAAAAAGCGCAGGUCAAAAAAGAGGGAAAAGUCUGUGUCCAAGAAGCAGGAAAAAUCUGUCUCCAAGAAGCGAGAAAAGUCUGUAUCGAAGGUGCGAGAAAAAUCUGUAUCCAAGGUUCGAGAGAAACCCAGGAGAUCAGUCUCACCUCUGCGCAAAAUGAAACUUAGAUCACCAUCUCCAGUCAGACAAAAACGCAAAUCGAGUCAUUCUGAGAAGUCUAGUUCCAGUAAAUCUAAAUCUAAAAUUCACGAUGAUGUGGGGCUGCGACAUCGUAAAAUGCGCAGCAGAUCUCGGUCGCGGGAGAAAGGUCGGAAAAGCGUGUCACUUUCCCCUGUACGAUCUCAGAAGCGCGUUCGCAGAAGUAGGUCCUUAUCUCUGUCCCUCUCUCCUCCAGGCAAACGGUAUCGAACAAAAUCAAGGUCGAGAUCUCCUAAGUUUUUCAGUCAUCACAGAUCGAGAUCGAGAUCUCGCUCCCCAGGUGACAAGUAUAGGAAAUCCAAGAGUUCUCGGACGGAUAGAGAUGAGUAUCUGAAGCAGAUGCUGAACAUGAGUCAAAGUAGUACAGUUUGUCCAGGUUGUAUUUCAGGUACCUGCGCAAUGAGCUCUAGUCAUUUAGCACCUGGUCCAGUCGCACCACCCAUGCAUCCCCCUCCUAUGUCGUAUGGCCCUCCUGGACCACCAAUGAUGUGCCCAGGACCACCUCGCCCCGGACCACCAUGUCAUGGACCGCACCCUGGACCACCACGCCCCGGACCACCAAUGUAUGGCCGUUUCCCUCCCCCCGGUCCCAUGCGAGGUCCUCCCUUAAUGAGAGGGCCACACCCCAGAUUUCCUCCUCGAGGUCCAUUGCCGCCUGGAGUUGCUCCCUUCCAAAGACCUCCAAGAGGUCCACCACGACCUGGAUUUAGACCUGGAUUCCGACCCAGAGGCCCCCCUCCUCCUGGAGCAUACUACCCUCCCCCGGCCCCCGGUCAGUUUCCAGCCCAACCAGAUCCAAAUUACUCUGGUCCUCCGAACUAUUGGGCUUAA
rnacentral:lncRNA from 1 species